GUUUACUUGUGCGUCAUUGAACAGAGAGGGAGCACAUGCUUUGAGACCCGAAAAUGGUGAACUAGACUUGCGUAGGUUGAAGAUAGAGAAAACCCAGUGGAGGAUGGUAGAGAUUCAAACAAACAACUCGAUCGUCAAAAGUGGGUAAUGAGGUGAAAGACUAAUCAACCUAUUUUGUAGCUGGUUUCCUCUGAAGUGUCCCUCAGGAUAACCGGCACUCAUACUCAUAAUCGCUUUUAUCAGGUAAUGGAAAUGAUUAGAGGCAUUGCAUCUGAAAUGAAUUCUACAUAUUCACAAGCUCUAAUAGUGUGAGAUGAUAGACUCGUCUAAUACGAAUGUUUUUAUUUUACAACGCUGAGUCUGGAAUUGAAUGUGCCAGCGCCGAGUUGGCCACCGUUUAUAGACAGAACUGGCCCUGUGAGAUGAACCAAAAGUGGUGUUAAAGUGCCUAACACUGAAUUUCAUUAAAUAGCACAAAAAGUAUUGAUUCAUGCAGACAACAGAACGGUGGUCAGGGAAAUCGACACCUCCUGAGGAGUGUGCAACAAUUCACUCCCGAAGUCACGAACCCUGAAAAUGAAUGAUGCAAAAGCGUUGGAUCUACAUCGCCCCAUCAUCACAAG
rnacentral:ncRNA from 1 species